UGAGGGCACCGUCCGUCCCGCCUCGCCCCGCCCGCCAGCUCCCGGCCACCAGUUGAGAAACUUGGCGGCGAGGGGUCAUGCCGGCUGUCCCCGAGGGCAGGCCCGCUCCGCCCGGGGAGCGAUAUCCAUCGGAGCCCUCCCCGGCCGCUGGGCGCUUCCCCCGCCACCGCGGCCCUGCCGUGCUGGGGGAGGCGCCGAGGGGAGGCGCGGCCACAGCAGCCGCUGCUUGCCGCCUUCGUGGCGCCCCCCGCCGCCGCGUCCGGCCCCGCUGUCCGCACCCCGUCCUGGGAUCCCGCGCUGGGGCGGGGAGAGGCGGCGACGGGCCGUGCCCGGCUCGCCCUGCGGGCGCAGGGGCCGUGUCGAGCCGCCUGUCACACGUUCCCCGCGGGAGCUGCGCUGCGGGACUCGGGCGGACACGGCCCGCGGCGGCCGCCCCAGUGGAGGUUUCGGUGGGUUAAGCAGCCGCAGUUGGCGGCACGGCUCGUCAGCAGGGCAGGCAGCUGCAUUUCUGAGGGAGAAGCCCGGGGAUGACGGCAAAUCGGAAGAAGUAAUGUUUAGUGGGGACGCUUGAAACUAUGAAAAACCCACCGCGUAUUAACUGCACGCCGGUGAGGCCUAAGUGCAGCACACAGCAUAAGCACAGCCACGGAUCUCUGAACGCACCCCCGGAGUCACAAAGUGCUCUUAAAUGCGGGUGCUGUCCGCGGCGCAGCUCCGCGCCCGGCGGUUCCCGGCACAGGGGACACACGCCCCGCUGUCACCCCGCGCACGCGGCGGAGCCCCCUCAGUGGCACAUUGCCGGGAUCUGUUAAAGGACAGAAAAACUUGGUGGCAGGAGUUUCUCGAUUCCAGAGCGCUGACGUAAGCCGCAGCCAAUGCAGCGCUCGCCGGACGGCAGCGGCGCUCGGGCCCGGCUCGACGUGAGCCGCGGGCAGGGCAGGGCAGGGCGGCCCCGCCGCCCGGGGCACGUUCGCUGCCCUGUCAAGUACGUGGUGAUGGCAGCGCGGCCGAGCUACGAGCUCCGUGCGCCCCUCCGAUGGCCGAGACAACAAGAUACUUUAAACCUGCCCCUGCCGGCGGCUAACGCAGACGCGGUGCCCCGCACAGGUACACGGAACUCUUCCCGGGAGCACUUCCUAACGAGUAAGCGCCCCGGCGCAGGAAUGCUGCCGCCCGCCCGGGGAUAGCCUGGCGGUGAGCCCGGGCCGGCAGUCGCAGCCCAGGUGUGCUUUAUCCACAUCGCCACCUGUGGGUCUCCCGCAGCCCUGCAGCCCCGGCCUGGGCUGGGCACGGAGCCGUGUGCCCAGCAAUCAUCUAGAAUUGAAAUGAAAACCGUCUACCUGGGAGAAAUGUACUUGAGAAAGCGUACGACAGCAAAGAUACGUUUUGCUUCUAAAUAUAUUGUAAAUAAAAUAUCGACAUUUGAAUGGCACCACAGGGAGAAACGUUGAGGCUGCUGCUUUGAGAUCUUCCAUGUGGCACUCUGCGAAUCCAUGCGUCUUGCAAGCUACACCUUUUGAACAAACUUCUAAAACAAACCCUCUGACCCCAGUCUGUCCAGACGCAGUCAUGAAAAAUCAACAGCCAUUCGUUACUUUAAAGUAAUGCAUGCUUUUACUCGCAUAGGAUCUUCUGGUUCAGGCCUCAAUCAAUUUGAAAAUGUGACUGGAUAAAGUAUUUAAGUAGAAUGUCCAGUGAUGUGGCAGAGUCACAUCCUGGCAGAAGCUGGGAAGAAUCCUGGAUGGCUUCACUCUUAGCAUUCUUUUCUGAGCAGUAGACAGUACUGUUUGCCCAAAAGAGUAAGAUAAGUUACGUUUAGAAAUAUGUGUAUAGAUUUUGACUUGCUUAUAAAUAUAUGAGUAACUUUAUUUACAGGAACCCAGAACCAUGGGAGGUAAUUAGUAAGCACAGUUUGCUUAGGUAAGGGCUUGCAAGACCUUUUAUCAUCACUGUAUCUAUAACUUAGGACAGGAGCCAAAUAAUAUAAAUGUCAGUAAUUACAGAUAUAUAUUUAUAUUAACAAUAAAGUCCACUUUUGGAAGAGCUAAGGCUGUAUUUGUAAUGACGUCAUAUGGCUGAAAUUACGUUCACCAAUUUGUCCUGUGCACAUUUCUGUCAGGAAAAAUUGAUACAGUACCACAAACCACCAGGAGCAGCAAGUCCUGCAAGUGAGUUCUGUGACUACGGGCAAGAUAUCAGCCUUGAAAUUACAUAUAAUUUUUGUUUAAAAUUAAAACUCUCGAAAGGCCUCUAGAAUAUGUGUGUGUAAUAACAAGUUCACUACAUUAAAGAAAAUUAGAAAUACUAUGUGAAUUUUGAAAGAGGGCUUUACAUUCCACAGUCUAUAAGCAUUUUUUAGGCAAAUCAGUUAACAUUGAUUUGCUACUCUUAAACAUAUAGUGACAAUUGAUUUUUGAGGUGACAUAUCUGUAGUGAUAUUUUGUCUCAAAUAUGAAUAUUUUUAUGAUUCAUAUGUCUCCAUCUUUAACAGGGAAAAAAGUCCUUUGACAAAUACCUAAUGUAAACUCAUGUAGAACUUACCCUUUGGGGUAAAAAAAAGUUUUCUUCUCAGAUACUUUUAUAGGACUGGCAUUGAUACAUUGCCUCUCUUCACUAGUCACUGUAACAAAUGGAAGGGUGGAAAAGCACGAUCUGGUGCUGUAUGGAAGGCCUAAAUUAUAGGUAAAGGUAGUCCCUGAGCUACUUUAAAUUUACAGUACAAAAAAGAUCAACUGGAAAGGAAUUACAAAUAUAAAAAUCUGACUCAAUCAGCUGACCAAAAUGCACUUACCUUAUGCAGAGGAACAUGUUUAUAACACUAUCAUUUAUGCAAUGUGUUGCAAUGAAAAAUGAAAACUUAACUCUAGUCUGUAUUAUCUAAUUAAUUAGCCAAGUAACUUUAAAUAGGCAGAAAAAAUUAGUAUAUUAUCCCUGAAUGAAUAAAUAGCACGUUUAAUAUUGUUUCAUGGUGUUGUCCACACAAAAUACCUUUAUAAUUGCAUAGAAAUUAUUUUCAAAGAUGUGUGUCCAGUAGCAAAUCCUGUGUAAUUAGAAUAUCUGUUUGAGUGUAUCCAGGAAAUAAAUUAUUUACAUGUAGCUCAUUGCAAUGGAGGAGUAUGUCUGAUACCUUUAUGAAGUUCCCAUGAUCUCUGAACAAUGCUGUAAUGCACAGAAAGGUCCAUGACCAAUGUUUUCUACCUAUUUUGCUCCUAUCCACAGAGAAAACGUCUGGCUUGGGCUGCGGUAAACCCGUGGAGGAACAUUUACUCGAGCUG